rnacentral:rRNA from 1 species
UACGGGGGGAGCAAGCGUUGUUCGGAUUUACUGGGCGUAAAGGGCGCGUAGGUGGCCAACUAAGUCAGACGUGAAAUCCCUCAGCUUAACUGGGGAACUGCGUCUGAUACUGGAUGGCUUGAGUUUGGGAGAGGGAUGCGGAAUUCCAGGUGUAGCGGUGAAAUGCGUAGAUAUCUGGAGGAACACCGGUGGCGAAGGCGGCAUCCUGGACCAACACUGACACUGAGGAGCGAAAGCCAGGGGAGCAAACGGG